rnacentral:lncRNA from 1 species
UUUGCUGCUGACUUAUCAUUCUUCUUCUUUUGCUGCGUUAAAAAUAACACACGCACGUGAGAACACUCAUUCCCUGCACCGGAGCCAACAAAGGAAACAGGAAGAGGAGGAAAGGCAAGAUCUCAUGUAGCCAAGGCUGAUUUGGCUAUGCAAACUAUGCAAUUGGGGCCUUGAAAUCUGGACUCUCCUGCAUCUAUCUCCCACAAACCAACUGGAGCUACGGGCAUGUGUUAUGCUUGGCCCUGGAAUCAGUCCUUUCACACACCUCACAAACAUCUAUGGAAUGACCGCGGUGUUCUAGGGAAGAAAUAAAUUUGACACUAUCUUUGUAACUUCACAAGCCAGGAGUGAAGAUACUGUGCAGGAACUAAGUGGAAUACCAGACGUUAACAUUAAAGAAAAUGAAAACUCAGGGACGAAAUUACCCAAACUUCUGCGAGUUGGUGAGUGGGUGGAUUACAGAGAGACUGUUCUGGUGAAUCGGUCAUAAGCCGGCG